rnacentral:rRNA from 1 species
UACAGAGGGGGCAAGCGUUGUUCGGAAUUACUGGGCGUAAAGGGCGCGUAGGCGGCCUGUUAAGUCGAACGUGAAAUCCCUGGGCUCAACCCAGGAACUGCGUCCGAUACUGGCAGGCUUGAAUUCGGGAGAGGGAUGCGGAAUUCCAGGUGUAGCGGUGAAAUGCGUAGAUAUCUGGAGGAACACCGGUGGCGAAGGCGGCAUCCUGGACCGAGAUUGACGCUGAGGCGCGAAAGCGUGGGGAGCGAACAGG